rnacentral:rRNA from 1 species
ACUCAAAUGAAUUGACGGGGGCCCGCACAAGCGGCGGAGCAUGCGGAUUAAUUCGAUGCAACGCGAAGAACCUUACCUAGGUUUGACAUCACCCGGAAACCUCUAGAGAUAGAGGCCUCUUCGGACUGGGUGACAGGUGGUGCAUGGCUGUCGUCAGCUCGUGUCGUGAGAUGUUGGGUUAAGUCCCGCAACGAGCGCAACCCUUAUCCCGUGUUGCCAGCAUUCAGUUGGGGACUCACGGGAGACUGCCGGGGUUAACUCGGAGGAAGGUGGGGAUGAGGUCAAGUCAUCAUGCCCCUUAUGUCUAGGGCUUCACGCAUGCUACAUUGGCCGGUACAGCGGGUUGCGAUACCGUGAGGUGGAGCGAAUCCCUGUAAAGCCGGUCUUGGUUCGGAUUCGAGUCUGCAACUCGACUCGAUGAAGGUGGAGUCGCUAGUAAUCGCAGAUCAGCAACGCUGCGGUGAAUGCGUUCCCGGGCCUUGUACACACCGCCCGU